ACGGAAGGCAGCAGUGGGGAAUAUUGCACAAUGGGGGAAACCCUGAUGCAGCGACGCCGCGUGAGUGAAGAAGUAUUUCGGUAUGUAAAGCUCUAUCAGCAGGAAAGAAAAUGACGGUACCUGACUAAGAAGCCCCGGCUAACUACGUGCCAGCAGCCGCGGUAAUACAUAGGGGGCAAGCGUUAUCCGGAUUUACUGGGUGUAAAGGGAGCGUAGACGGCUUUGCAAGUCUGAAGUGAAAGCCCGGGGCUCAACCCCGGAACUGCUUUGGAAACUGUAGAGCUAGAGUGCAGGAGAGGUAAGUGGAAUUCCUAGUGUAGCGGUGAAAUGCGUAGAUAUUAGGAGGAACACCAGUGGCGAAGGCGGCUUACUGGACUGUAACUGACGUUGAGGCUCGAAGGCGUGGGGAGCAAACAGGAUUAGAUACCCUGGUA
rnacentral:rRNA from 2 species